rnacentral:rRNA from 1 species
AAUCUUGCGCAAUGGGCGAAAGCCUGACGCAGCCAUGCCGCGUGAAUGAUGAAGGUCUUCGGAUUGUAAAAUUCUUUCACCGGGGACGAUAAUGACGGUACCCGGAUAAGAAGACCCGGCUCACUUCGUGCUAGCAGCCGCGGUAAUACGAUGGGAGCUAGCGUUGCCCGGCAUUACUGGGCGUAAAGGGCGCGUAGGCGGACAUUUAAGUCAGGGGUGAAAUCCCAGAGCUCAACUCUGGAACUGCCUUUGAUACUGGGUGUCUUGAGUGUGAGAGAGGUAUGUGGAACUCCGAGUGUAGAGGUGAAAUUCGUAGAUAUUCGGAAGAACACCAGUGGCGAAGGCGACAUACUGGCUCAUUACUGACGCUGAGGCGCGAAAGCGUGGGGAGCAAACA